rnacentral:piRNA from 1 species
UAUAUUGGAAAACAUGAGGAU